GACGAACGCUGGCGGCGUGCUUAACACAUGCAAGUCGAACGGAAAGGCCCUGCUUUUGUGGGGUGCUCGAGUGGCGAACGGGUGAGUAACACGUGAGUAACCUGCCCUUGACUUUGGGAUAACUUCAGGAAACUGGGGCUAAUACCGGAUAGGAGCUCCUGCUGCAUGGUGGGGGUUGGAAAGUUUCGGCGGUUGGGGAUGGACUCGCGGCUUAUCAGCUUGUUGGUGGGGUAGUGGCUUACCAAGGCUUUGACGGGUAGCCGGCCUGAGAGGGUGACCGGCAACAUUGGGACUGAGAUACGGCCAAGACUCCUACGGGAGGCAGCAGUGGGGAAUAUUGCACAAGGGGCGGAAGCCUGAGGCAGCAACGCCGCGUGCGGGAUGACGGCCUUCGGGUUGUAAACCGCUUUCGCCGGUGACGAAGCGUGAGUGACGGUGAUGGGUAAAGAAGCACCGGCUAACUACGUG
rnacentral:rRNA from 1 species